UUAUGAUUUAUUUUUAUUUAAUCGUAAUAAUAUUGUUAAUUAAUGCGGGAUAGUAUUUUGAGCGUAAAUUGAAAACAAAGGCUGGCUUACCAACCACCGGUGUAGAGGACGAUGAUGAAAUAGUUUAAAUAACUUUUCAAUAAUUUCGACAUAAAAUAUAAUAAAUUUGAAUGUCGGAGAUGGGUAAAUACUUUUAUUAGGUAUUUCCACAUUUGUAUUACACGAGCUUUUACGUUGUAAACCAAAAAAAAUAACCAAGUAAUAUAAUUUAUGAAAAUUAAUAAUCUAUCUUCCUCUAUCAUAUUCCUAUUAAUAAUAAGCAUCAAUGAUUAUACUUUUGAUAUAAUGCAGCAAGUACGUACGAUACUUGUACAAAGACCAUUUAAAUCGAUAUAAUGUUUAAAUCGACUGCGAUUAUUUUGGCAAUUAGAUUUUAUAAUAUCUAAUACACAAAUCGUGCUCUACACUAACAAUUUUUUUUUCACUUUUUUUCACUAUUUAAUCUGUAUCGGAUAAAGUAGUGUGCUUGAUUGAUUGUCAAGGUACAGGCCCGUAUUUUAGUAUUUCUGUGCUGCACAUCAUAUCGUCGCGCAUAGUACCUUUAACGCAAAUUAUAAAUCCACCAGAAGAAUCAAAAUAAACCGUGUUUGCACAGUUUGUUUGAGUUUAAUUCCCGGUAUAAUUUUUCCUUUGACGUUUUAUGUUCCACGUAAUAUAUUAUUUAAGUACUCUGUGACAAAAAAUAAUAUCUAAUUUUCAAACGUUCCGCCGACUUACGCGUAUAAUGUACAUAAUGGUAAUAUAUUAUAUUAUACCUAUACCGUCGUAUAAUGUUCGGCGAAAUCGCUUCUCUUUUUUUUCUCGAAUUCUGAUGUAUCAUAUAUUCAUUAAUAAACGAGAAACGUAUACAUUUAGGUACGCACUACUACGAAAACGGUCGACAUACAUAUAAUCCUUUGCCGGCACACUAUAGGCGUACUAUAUUGUUCAAAGGCUGAUGGCUACGAUACGAUAAAUACUACACGACCGUGGCCCCGGGGCCAGGAAAAAUAAUUUAAAAAUAAAACGGACCAAGGAAAAUGACUAAUUUUCUCCACGGUACGUGACUUCCACAUAUUAUUAGACACAUUAUUGUACGGACUUUUGCUUCACUGUAUUCGCUGAACUCCACGAGAGGUUUUCUAGACUUAAUUCGAUUUCGAAGACUCUUCUGCGCAGGACGGCACGGCGGUCGUUCAGUCCACAGUACACCGCGCGUAUUUCUAUACUAUACAGGUCACGAAGACUGUCGUUGAACUGGGGAGGGAUCGGUAUCUGCCGUCGGCUAGUUCUAUUGACACACCGGGGAUAGAGUAAUUUCACUUACACAAUACAUAAUAUAAGAUACCUAUGUAGAAGUGAAAUGCAAGAAAAAAGGCGUCGGAAUUUUGAUCAGCCUCGGUGGUAAAAAAAAAGGUCUUGCGCCGAUUUGGCUUAAGGUUAUCGAUGAAAGGGGAUGAUUUUUUCCUUCUAUGCUGAAUGUUUUUUACCCUUUCUCCGCUUCCUUCAUUUAUACGAUUUUCAUUUCGAGUCGGUUUUACCACCCGCCACGUACCCACUAAGGCGUAGAGACGCCACGACAACAAAAGAUUUCGAUGGCGACUGCUGGGGUGCAAUAAAAGUCGUACAAAGUGAUGUUCA